CUUGUCUCUGUGAUGAACUAUUACGGAUGUAAAACUUUGUCAUGUCGGAAUGCGCAUAAAAACAUGUCGAGAUUUCCGUUGCCUUCCUUCUGAUACGG
rnacentral:snoRNA from 1 species